rnacentral:sRNA from 1 species
GCUGGGUGUGGUGGCGCGUGCCUGUAAUCACAGGGGCUCCGGAGGCUGAGGCAGGAGGAUCUUGAGGGCAAAGCCAGCCUCAGCAACUUAGUGAGGCCCUAAGCAACUCAGCAAGACCCUGUCUCUA